AAGGGGAGAAGGUAUGGUGUUACAGGUCCGACAUCUGCUUCUGGGGGUCUCAGAAUUACUUCAUAAUGUUGGUAGAUGUUCACAAAAGGUCAAGGAUAUGCAACCAAUAGGGGAAGGUUUCAGAGUUAAGAAAAUGCCAUGACAACAGAGACUAUAAAAAUCAUCCUAGAUCAAUCUUAGACUAACAGAUGGCAUCAGUAUAGAAUAAAUUUCCUGCACACUUUGUUGUAUCAAGAGUGUGCUGAUGAAGAUGGUGCCACCAAGAAGCAUAUUGUUUAUUUCUUAUCUAUCUAUGGGUUUGACCCAUCCCUUACACUGCAAUGUGAAAAGGUGCUCAGGAAUAAAAAGGCAAAAAAAAAAAUACAGAUAAAAACAAUAUUCAUUUGCUCAGAUAAAAAAUGUUUAAAUUAAGACACAAAAUGACAAUAUAUUUUUGUAUGUAGAUUUUUAACGGCUGAAACAAAAACUUUUAUUAUUUGAAUCCUUUGAAGAAAUAUUAUUGAAAGAAAAGAGUUGAUUUGAUAUGACUGUGCUAUAAGCAUUAGUUUCUAAUAGUUUGGAAUUUUGUUGAGCAACAGACAAAAUACAUCACUGUUCUUUACAUUCUGUGUUCUAAUCCUACCCAAGGCUGAACUUUGUGCUUCGUCUUUCCACUGCUGAUAAACUAUAGUACCAGUCAAAUACUAGGGAGAAUGAUCUAUAUCGGUGGUUCUGAACCAGGGGUCUAUAUGGUCCCUAAGGGCCCAUAUAAAAUUUUGUGGAGUCCAUGCAAGAAAUAGUAAAUUUGGCAUCUACAAUAGUAUUUUAAGGAACCCUGAAAAAAGUUUGCUCAUGUUGUAUGAAUUGGUAUGUAUUGCAAGAAACAGCUAAGUUUCUUUCUUUAACUUUUUACAUAGUUCAUCCUAGAGAAGUUAAUGUGUGAGAAACAAAAUAAGAAUUUUGAAAGAAGUUUCUAAAAAACUAAUUCUUCAGCAUUGAAUAGCUAUGGGGUCUACCAGAGUAAAAUAGUUAUCAAAGGGGUCCACAGAUAAAAAAAAAAUGGUGGAGAGUCCCUGAUCUAUAUAGUCAACUGAAUCUCUCUUUUCAAAAUUUCUGGUCUUGUGUCUUUAACCGUUAUAAUGUUGGAAUCUUGAAAAUAAAAAAAAAACAAUAACAACCAA